rnacentral:tRNA from 2 species
CAAAGGAUAGUUUAAUUUUAAAAUAUUAAUUUUGGAAAUUAAUGAUAAGAGUUUCUUUCCUUUGA